rnacentral:miRNA from 1 species
CCUUGGCCACUGCUCUCACCCCUUGGGAGUGUUAGGCAAUGGGUGAUGGGUGUGGUGUCUGCA